UACAGAGGGUGCGAACGUUGCUCGGAAUUACUGGGCGUAAAGCGCGUGUAGGCGGGGUCGCAAGUCAGAUGUGAAAUCCCCGGGCUCAACCCGGGAACUGCACCUGAAACUGCGAUCCUUGAGUACUGGAGAGGGUGGCGGAAUUCCUGGUGUAGAGGUGAAAUUCGUAGAUAUCGGGAGGAACACCAGUGGCGAAGGCGGCGAUCUGGGAAGAUACUGACGCUGAGGUGCGAAAGCGUGGGGAGCAAACAGG
rnacentral:rRNA from 1 species